rnacentral:rRNA from 1 species
GAUUAAGUUAUUAAGGGCGCACGGUGGAUGCCUUGGCACUAGAAGCCGAUGAAGGACGUUACUAACGACGAUAUGCUUUGGGGAGCUGUAAGUAAGCUUUGAUCCAGAGAUUUCCGAAUGGGGAAACCCAGCAUGAGUUAUGUCAUGUUAUCGAUAUGUGAAUACAUAGCAUAUCAGAAGGCACACCCGGAGAACUGAAACAUCUUAGUACCCGGAGGAAGAGAAAGAAAAUUCGAUUCCCUUAGUAGCGGCGAGCGAAACGGGA